AAGUCUGAUGGAGCAMCGCCGCGUGAGUGAAGAAGGAUUUCGGUUCGUAAAACUCUGUUGUAAGGGAAGAACAAGUACAGUAGUAACUGGCUGUACCUUGACGGUACCUUAUUAGAAAGCCACGGCUAACUACGUGCCAGCAGCCGCGGUAAUACGUAGGUGGCAAGCGUUGUCCGGAAUUAUUGGGCGUAAAGCGCGCGCAGGCGGUCCUUUAAGUCUGAUGUGAAAGCCCACGGCUCAACCGUGGAGGGUCAUUGGAAACUGGGGGACUUGAGUGCAGAAGAGGAAAGUGGAAUUCCAAGUGUAGCGGUGAAAUGCGUAGAGAUUUGGAGGAACACCAGUGGCGAAGGCGACUUUCUGGUCUGUAACUGACGCUGAGGCGCGAAAGCGUGGGGAGCAAACAGGAUUAGAUACCCUGGUAGUCCACGCCGUAAACGAUGAGUGCUAAGUGUUAGGGGGUUUCCGCCCCUUAGUGCUGCAGCUAACGCAUUAAGCACUCCGCCUGGGGAGUACG
rnacentral:rRNA from 1 species